rnacentral:rRNA from 1 species
GUCAAUGGACGCAAGUCUGAACCAGCCAUGCCGCGUGAAGGAUGAAGGUCCUCUGGAUUGUAAACUUCUUUUAUCUGGGACGAAAACGGGAUUUUUAUCUCAAUUGACGGUACCAGAGGAAUAAGCACCGGCUAACUCCGUGCCAGCAGCCGCGGUAAUACGGUGGGUGUGAGCGUUAUCCGGAUUUACUGGGUUUAAAGGGUGCGUAGGUUGGCUUAUAAAUCAGUGGUGAAAUCUCCGAGCUUAACCUGGAAACGGCCGUGUAUACUAUAGGGAUUGAAUUAUCUGGAGGGAAGCGGAAUAUGUCAUGUAGCGGUGAGCUGCUUAGAUAUUGCAUAGAAUACCAGUUGCGAAGGCAGCUUACGACAUAGAAAUUGACGCUG